GGUGGGGGGGAGAGGGAGGUGGCUACGAGUCUUCCCCCUUGAUGGAAGGGAGCCUGGAGAGAAAUUUGGGAAGUUGGGGACAGUGGUUUUGUUUUGGGUGGAGACGGGAGACAGAGAAAGAGGGAGGAGGGAUUUGGUUGGCUUGAGCAAUGUGAUCUUUCAUCCCUUCUCUUUUUUGGUUUUGGUCUUGGUUUUCCUUCCCUCACAUUGCUCCAGUUCCAGCUGGGCCGGCAGGAAGAAAGAUCGGGGGAUUGGAGAUGGACUUCUUGGAGGGUGGAGAUUCUUUGAAUUUUCUCCUCUCAGUUUCUUCUUCCCUGAUAACAUGGUUUUGAGAGUUAGAAGAUGCAAGGAUGUUCUUCUACAGUUUUCUAUUAUGGAAGUGGCUUCAAAAAAUUAUGAACUUUUGAAUGCACAAAGAUGCAAGUUUGUUAUAAUGUUAAUGGGACAAUGUAAUUUGUAUUUUGUCUAAAUAUGUAAUUGUCUAAGUUUGCAGUUUUUAUUGUUGGGUUGUAAUUUUCAGCUGGACAACAGUGUUUCAUACAUUUUAUUUUCUUUCUAUUGGCUUGAAGCUGCAAA